AUGCUUCUCCAUUCAGUUAUUCUGCUCUCUGCUUUAGCAUGUGCCAGUAGUGAAGAUACCAUUACAGCAGACAAAACAGAGGAGUUUGGUGAUGAUGGUUCAAAUUUGACUUUAUCCUGCACUUUUUCAUCUGCAUGGUCUUUACUUUGGUACCGUCAGUAUCCUGGAUCAGCUCCUGAGUUCCUUGUAAUCAUCGCAGAAAGGUCUAAACGAGUAGAGAAGUCUGAUGUUGAUCAACGAUUUACAACAAAGAUCAGAUUAGAGAAGGAAAAGCAUGUGGAUCUGCUCCUGUCCUCUGCUGUAGUAUCAGACUCUGCUGUGUAUUACUGUGCUCUGACACCCAUGAUGGCCACAGUGACUGAAAACACACAAGCACAGAACAAAAACCUUCCUGUAUAA